UAAAGCCCUUUCAGUGGGAACGAUGAUGACGGUACCCACAGAAGAAGCCCCGGCUAACUCCGUGCCAGCAGCCGCGGUAAUACGGAGGGGGCGAGCGUUGUUUCGGAAUUAUUGGGCGUAAAGAGCGCGUAGGCGGCUUGUUAAGUCAGAAGUGAAAGCCUCAGGCUUAACCUGGGAACUGCUUUUGANACUGGCAGGCUAGAGUCCGGCAGAGGAUGGUGGAAUUCCCCGUGUAGAGGUCAAAUUCGUAGAUAUGGGGAGGAAGACC
rnacentral:rRNA from 1 species